rnacentral:rRNA from 1 species
GCAUAAUCAUUUGCCUCUUAAUUGGAGGCUAGUAUGAAUGGAUAAAUGAGGGUUUAACUGUCUCUUUUAUAAAAAUAUAAAUUAAUUUUCAGGUGAAGAAGCCUGAAUACUGAUAAAAGACAAGAAGACCCUAUUGAGCUUUACUUUAAGCUUUAAAUACAAAAUAUUAACUUAUAUUCAUUAAAAAAUAAAAAGUUUGGUUGGGGCGACAAGGGGAUAUCUAAAUCUCCCCUUUAUUUGAAGACGACAAAUCAAUUAAUGAUCCGAAUAUAAUAUUUUAUUCGACCAAAGGAAAAAGCUACCAUAGGGAUAACAGGCUAAUUCUUCUAGAGAGCCCACAUUGAUAGAAGAGAUUGGCACCUCGAUGUUGGCUUAGAGUACCCCUCUGGCGCAGCCGCCAGAAACGGUUGGUUUGUUCAACCAUAAAAACUCU